rnacentral:rRNA from 1 species
GUAGGUGGCAAGCGUUGUCCGGAAUUAUUGGGCGUAAAGCGCGCGCAGGCGGUCCUUUAAGUCUGAUGUGAAAGCCCACGGCUCAACCGUGGAGGGUCAUUGGAAACUGGGGGACUUGAGUACAGAAGAGGAAAGCGGAAUUCCAAGUGUAGCGGUGAAAUGCGUAGAGAUUUGGAGGAACACCAGUGGCGAAGGCGGCUUUCUGGUCUGUAACUGACGCGGAGGCGCGAAAGCGUGGGGAGCAAACAGGAUUAGAUACCCUGGUAGUCCACGCCGUAAACGAUGAGUGCUAAGUGUUAGGGGGUUUCCCGCCCCCCUUAGUGCUGCAGCUAACGCAUUAAGCACUCCGCCUGGGGGAGUACGGCCGCAAGGCUG